AGUGAACGCUGGCGGUAGGCCUAACACAUGCAAGUCGAACGGCAGCACAGGAGAGCUUGCUCUCUGGGUGGCGAGUGGCGGACGGGUGAGGAAUACAUCGGAAUCUACUCUGUCGUGGGGGAUAACGUAGGGAAACUUACGCUAAUACCGCAUACGACCUACGGGUGAAAGCAGGGGACCUUCGGGCCUUGCGCGAUUGAAUGAGCCGAUGUCGAAUUAGCUAGUUGGCGGGGUAAAGGCACACCAAGGCGACGAUCCGUAGCUGGUCUGAGAUGAUGAUCAGCCACACUGGAACUGAGACACGGUCCAGACUCCUACGGGAGGCAGCAGUGGGGAAUAUUGGACAAUGGGCGCAAGCCUGAUCCAGCCAUACCGCGUGGGUGAAGAAGGCCUUCGGGUUGUAAAGCCCUUUUGUUGGGAAAGAAAUCCAGCUGGCUAAUACCCGGUUGGGAUGACGGUACCCAAAGAAUAAGCACCGGCUAACUUCGUGCCAGCCGCCGCGGUAA
rnacentral:rRNA from 1 species